GGCGCGACACACACACUGCAAGCGCUCCCGCUUCCUUCCGUCAUCCGAUUGACACGCUGCACCAGCCAAACGCCACUGACCUCACAGCCUCGCUUCGCCCGCCAUGGCCGCUGCCACGGUGCGGUCGACGUUGGCCCCCUGCCUCCUCCUCCUCCUCCUCCUGUCCACGGCGCUCGCCUCCGCCGCCACCGCGCCGCGGCUCGUGCUCCUGGCGCCGUCCGGCUCGCACACGCCGUGCCUGGACAACCCGCCCGACCUGACGGCCGCGGGCGACGAGGCGGGCGAGCUCGUCCGCGACCUCGGCGGCCUCCAGGCCUACGUCACCGGAUCCCGCAGCUCCCCGCGCGCCAUCGUCCUCGCCUCCGACUACUUCGGCUUCCAAGCGCCAAAACUCAGGAAAAUCGCGGACCAGGUUGCAGAUGAUGGAUACUUGGUCGUGGUUCCCGAUUUGUUGCACGGGGACCCUUUCAGGGAUGAGGCCAAGAUUUCAUUUCAAGAUUGGCUGAAAACUCACUCUCCGGUGGAGGCAGCUGAAAAGACUAAAGUGCUUAUUGCUGCUCUGAAGAAGCUAGGGGUGUCUGAAGUUGGGGUUGGAGGUUAUUGCUGGGGUGCAAAGGUAGCCGUGGAGCUAUCAAAGUCUCAAGAAAUUCAAGUGGUUGUCAUCUCUCACCCUUCACUAGUGACUGUCGAUGACAUGAAGGAGGUCAAGCAUCCCAUUGAGAUUCUCGGAGGAGAGCUUGAUCAAGCUUCCCCACCGCCGAUAGUGCACCAGUUUCAACAGGCCUUAGAUCAGAACAAGAAGAUUGACCACUUUGUGAAGAUCUUCCCGGGCGUAGCCCACGGCUUUGCUUGCAGAUACAACGCCAGCAACGCGUUCGCCGUCAAAACCGCCGAAGAGGCUCGUGCAGACAUGCUCAGCUGGUUCAACAAGUAUCUGAAGAAGCACCAAGAGCUUUCGCUCCACGAAUCUUAGAAACUCGAUCGCUCCAAGUUGUUUUGAACAAGUCGCCCUUUUAGUUUUGAAAAUUAGCGCCUUUCAUUAGUUCAGAAGUAUGGAAUUAUAGGAGCUCUUGUCUUUCGAAUAAAUUGCACAUCAGUGCUGAACUUGUUAGUCCUAGCUUGGUCGUGCAUGCAAUGCAAUAAUAAAAUAGUUCCUCUAGUUUGAUUCAGCCGU
rnacentral:rRNA from 1 species